AGCGCCGCAUCGGAGAGAGGGAUCACGGCGCCAGAGAGAGAGAUCGCGGCGCCGGAGAGAGAGAUCGACCAGCGUUUGUGACAGUACAGGAGUAGAGGCCGACGGGGGAUGUUAGCUCGGAGGUUGUCAUGGCUCUGACAGUGAUGACGGUUAAACGGCUAGGGUUCCGAUCAAGUUCCGGCAUCUUUCCGGUAACCUCCGGUGAGGUUCCAGCGAGGAUUUCAGGGAACGAACUUGAAGAUGCAUGUUUCUUUUUCGAGUAGACCAACAAACCCCGAGAAUUUAUAUGCUAUUGCAGGAACCGUGUACGUUAAAUAGCGAACGGAAAUGAACAGUAAAACCACCCAUCACACGCCUAUGUGGCAGGUUCCUCCUCUCUCGAAUGGUGUGCAAGGAGAGGAGCCAGUUCUUUUUGUGUUUUUGUUUAUAAUGAUAGUAAGAAAAGUCAAGGCCAAUCUUUAAAGAAAUAGUAAUUUACUUACACAAACCCAUCUUUGGCCAUGGUCUCUAGAGCCAUGCUCCCG
rnacentral:lncRNA from 1 species